rnacentral:rRNA from 1 species
AUUGAACGCUGGCGGCAGGCUUAACACAUGCAAGUCGAACGAGUGGCGGACGGGUGAGUAAUGCUUGGGCAUCUAGCUUAUGGAGGGGGAUAACUACGGGAAACUGUAGCUAAUACCGCGUACCAUAGGAUGAGCCCAAGUGGGAUUAGGUAGUUGGUGAGGUAAAGGCUCCUCAAGCCGACGAUGUCUAGCUGGUCUGAGAGGAUGACCAGCCACACUGGGACUGAGAAACGGCCCAGACUCCUAAGGGAGGCAGCAGUGGGGAAUAUUGGGCAAUGGGGGAAACCUGACGGAGCAAUGCCGCGUGAAUGAAGAAGGCCUUCGGGUUGUAAAGUUCUGUCGGUAGCGAGGCGUUAACUACAGAAGAAGCACCGGCUAACUCCGUGCCAGCAGCCGCGGUAAUUC